CUGGUAUAUUGCUAUUCAUCUAUCAUUUUCGAAGAGGACCAGUGACAUCAGGGAUGAUGAUUUGACUUGCACCUGAGUUGGAUUUAAUUCUUUCUUCCAGACUUAUCUAAGUCCAGUGGCAAGACAAAAGCCAAGGCAGUGGCCAGAGAUUCAGGAUGACCUUGGCAUCUUCCUUAUCUGACCAACCUCCAAGUGCUCCAUGGUACCUGCUUCAGUCAUCUUCUUGGCCAUUGAAAUAAAUCUGCCCAUUACACUGGGAGAAGUCUCCACAUGCUUUGGGUAGACAUCCCCUUAACUCACCCUCUACUCAGUCAGUUUUACUGGGGUCUGGCCACUGUUCUUGCUACAGCUUCUUGGAGCCACAGAUAUUGUGUUUUUUUACUGAUUGAAAGUUUGUGGCAACCUUGGGUCAAGCAAGUCUAUCAGCGCCAUUUUUCCAAUGAGUAAGAAUGGGAGAACAGUAGCUGAGAUGGAUGGAAAGGAAAACUGGGGCCAUACUGUGGAAAGUCUUCAAUACCAACAAGAACUGAGAUUUGAAUCAAAUAGUUGUUUAUCAAAAUUCAGCCAUCUUCAAAUUUAAAAGAAAAUAUUAAAAUAUCUAUACAAAGGUAUUUGGAUUUUCUGACUUUUUUGUUUUCAUUCCAUUCUAAGUGUUUUGCUUAUGCAUAAAACAAGUACCAACAACCAUAAUA